UUUCAACGGGUAACGGGGAAUUAUGGUUCGAUUCCGGAGAGGGAGCCUGAGAAACGGCUACCACAUCCAAGGAAGGCAGCAGGCGCGCAAAUUACCCAAUUCCAACACUGGAGAGGUAGUGACAAUAAAUACUGAUACAGGGCUCUUUUGGGUCUUGUAAUUGGAAUGAGUACAAUUUAAACCUCUUAACGAGGAACAAUUGGAGGGCAAGUCUGGUGCCAGCAGCCGCGGUAAUUCCAGCUCCAAUAGCGUAUAUUAAAGUUGUUGCAGUUAAAAAGNUNGUAGUUGAACCUUUGGCNNGGNUGGCAGGUCCGCCUCANCGCGUGCACUUGUCCGGCCGGGCCUUUUCUUCUGGAGAACCGCAUGCCCUUCANUGGGUGUGUUGGGGACCAGGACUUUUACUUUGAAAAAAUUAGAGUGUUCAAAGCAGGCCUUUGCUCGAAUACGUUAGCAUGGAAUAAUAGAAUAGGACGUGCGGUCNUAUUUUGUUGGUUUNUAGGACNNCCGUAAUGAUUAAUAGGGNCNGUNGGGGGCNUCAGUAUUCAAUUGUCAGAGGUGAAAUUUUUGGAUUUAUUGAAGACUAAAUAUUGNGAAAGCAUUUGCCAAGGANGUUUUCAUUAAUCAGUGAACGAAAGUUAGGGGAUCGAAGACGAUCAGAUACCGUCGUAGUCUUAACCAUAAACUAUGCCGACUAGGGAUCGGGCGGUGUUUUUAUUGUGACCCGCUCGGCACCUUACGAGAAAUCAAA
rnacentral:rRNA from 1 species